rnacentral:rRNA from 1 species
GACGAACGUUGGCGGCGUGCUUAAUACAUGCAAGUCAACUGAAGCAGUGGUAGCAAUAUCGCUGUGGAGGUGGCGCACGGGUGAGUAACACGUAGGUAAUCUGCCUUCAGGUCUGGCAUAACUCCGGGAAACCGGGGCUAAUAGCAGAUGAUGCAGCGGCUCGACAUCGAGACAGUUGUUAAAGCUAUGGCGCCUGAAGAUGAGCCUGCGUCUGAUUAGCUAGUUGGCGGGGUAACGGCCCACCAAGGCAACGAUCAGUAGCUGGUCUGAGAGGAUGAUCAGCCACACUGGAACUGAGACACGGUCCAGACUCCUACGGGAGGCAGCAGUAAGGAAUAUUGCUCAAUGGGAGAAAUCCUGAAGCAGCAACGCCGCGUGAGGGACGAAGGGCUUUUGCUUGUAAACCUCUGUAGUGAGAGAAAAAAAUCCCAAUCUUUGGGACAUGAUGGUAUCUCAAAAGUAAGCCCCGGCUAACUACGU